rnacentral:tRNA from 1 species
GCACCAUUAGCACAAUUGGAUAGUGCAAGUGAGUUCUAAUCACCAGGUUGCAGGUUCGAAUCCUGCAUGGUGUG